rnacentral:lncRNA from 1 species
GAGACUCUCUCCCGCGUGACCCACCCAGGCUCCCACAAGAAAAUUAGCCUAAUGCCACAAAACGCAUUGCAACAAUAUAAACUCUGUUGCAAAUAAAUUAUACGUUUAAAAUAAUCAUGUAAACGUGUUGAACAAAAGUUUGUACAUCUAGAACAAGUUAUCAUGGAUAUGUAACCAAUAUUAUAAAAUGAUCAAGAAAUAAUACAUGUAUACAUUAAUUGUAACGAUAAUUGUACAAAUGCAGAACAAGUAGAGCACAAAAUUUGUACAUGUGGAACGUUAAAAUAUACAAACGGAACAACAUUGAAAUUAAUCGUGAAUAAUAUGAAUUGCUAAACGUAUCAUAGAAUGGAGCGAAUCAAGAUAUGACAUGGAACAAAUUUAAAAGGAAAAAAAAUCAUGCUAAUCUAACCAAAGAUAUAUACCAUUGGCUAAACAUACGCAUACACACUAUGGGCCAAACAGACAUGGGCCAAAAAGACAAAAGAAGUGACGGAGAAUCCAUCUCAAUGUAAACCCACCAGUUUUGCACUCGACGUAAAGCCGGACAAUAUUUUGGUGAACCAGGCCAGGACUGUGCUAAUGCUACGCCGUUUGCUACUUCCUCCGUUCUAUCGUUUUAUCUUUUCUAAAAAAA